UUAUAGGUGCAACCAUUGUUGUCUCUGGUGAUGGCCGCUAUUUCUCAAAAGAUGUUGUUCAGAUCAUAACAAAAAUGGCUGCUGCCAAUGGAGUAAGAUGUGUUUGGGUUGGACAAAACAGUCUCAUGUCUACUCCUGCUGUAUCUGCUGUCAUCCGUGAAAGAAUUGGUGUAGAUGGAUCAAAGGCUACUGGUGCCUUCAUCUUGACAGCGAGCCAUAACCCAGGUGGUCCUAAGGAGGUACCA